rnacentral:rRNA from 1 species
GGGAAUAUUGCACAAUGGGCGCAAGCCUGAUGCAGCCAUGCCGCGUGUGUGAAGAAGGCCUUCGGGUUGUAAAGCACUUUCAGUUGUGAGGAAGGUGGUGUCGUUAAUAGCGGCAUCAUUUGACGUUAGCAACAGAAGAAGCACCGGCUAACUCCGUGCCGGCAGCCGCGGUAAUACGGAGGGUGCGAGCGUUAAUCGGAAUUACUGGGCGUAAAGCGCAUGCAGGUGGUUUGUUAAGUCAGAUGUGAAAGCCCGGGGCUCAACCUCGGAACUGCAUUUGAAACUGGCAGACUAGAGUACUGUAGAGGGGGUAGAAUUUCAGGUGUAGCGGUGAAAUGCGUAGAGAUCUGAAGGAAUACCGGUGGCGAAGGCGGCCCCCUGGACAGAUACUGACACUCAGAUGCGAAAGCGUGGGGAGCAAACAGGAUUAGAUACCCUGGUAG